rnacentral:rRNA from 1 species
CAUGCAAGUUGAGCGGCAAGGUCCUUCGGGACCCUAGAGCGGCGCACGGGUGCGUAACGCGUAUGCAACCUACCCUUUACUGGGGGAUAGCCCGGGGAAACCCGGAUUAAUACCCCAUGGCAUUACCAGAUGGCAUCUGACGGUAAUUAAAGAUUUAUUGGUAAAGGAUGGGCAUGCGUCUGAUUAGCUAGUCGGUAGUGUAACGGACUACCAAGGCGACGAUCAGUAGGGGGUCUGAGAGGAUGAUCCCCCACACUGGCACUGAGAUACGGGCCAGACUCCUACGGGAGGCAGCAGUAGGGAAUAUUGGUCAAUGGGCGAGAGCCUGAACCAGCCACGCCGCGUGAAGGAUGAAGGCCUUCUGGGUUGUAAACUUCUUUUAUGGGGGAAGAAAAAGUCUGUGCGCAGACAACUGACGGUACCCUAUGAAUAAGCACCGGCUAACUCCGUGCCAGCAGCCGCGGUAAUACGGAGGGUGCAAGCGUUGUCCGGAUUUAUUGGGUUUAAAGGGUGCGUAGGCGGGUUAAUAAGUCAGUGGUGAAAGCCGGCAGCUCAACUGUCGAAUUGCCAUUGAUACUGUUAGCCUUGAGUAUAGUUGAGGUAGGCGGAAUGAGUCGUGUAGCGGUGAAAUGCAUAGAUAUGACUCAGAACACCGAUAGCGUAGGCAGCUUACUAAGCUAUAACUGACGCUGAGGCACGAAAGCAUGGGGAGCGAACAGGAUUAGAUACCCUGGUAGUCCAUGCCGUAAACGAUGUACACUCGCUGUUGGCGAUAUUACAGUCAGCGGCCAAGCGAAAGCGUUAAGUGUACCACCUGGGGGAGUACGCCGGCAACGGUGAAACUCAAAGGAAUUGACGGGGGUCCGCAC